rnacentral:rRNA from 1 species
CCCUUAGAUGUUCUGGGCCGCACGCGCGCUACACUGAUGCAUUCAACGAGUUUCUUCCUGGUCCGAGAGGAAUGGGUAACCUUUUGAAAGUGCAUCGUGAUAGGGAUAGACUAUUGCAAUUAUUGGUCUUCAACGAGGAAUUCCUAGUAGACGUAGUUCAUCAGACUGCAUCGAUUACGUCCCUGCCCUAUGUACACACCGCCCGUCGCUCCUACCGAUUGAAUGCUCAGGUGAGCCAUUCGGACUUUCAUCAUGCUGGUUUCCAGUUUUGAUGAAGGAAAGUCUUGCGAACCUUAUCAUUUAGAGGAAGGAGAAGUCGUAACA